rnacentral:rRNA from 1 species
GAUGAACGCUCGCUACAGGCUUAACACAUGCAAGUCGAGGGGCAGCAUGGUCUUAGCUUGCUAAGGCCGAUGGCGACCGGCGCACGGGUGAGUAACACGUAUCCAACCUGCCGUCUACUCUUGGACAGCCUUCUGAAAGGAAGAUUAAUACAAGAUGGCAUCAUGAGUCCGCAUGUUCACAUGAUUAAAGGUAUUCCGGUAGACGAUGGGGAUGCGUUCCAUUAGAUAGUAGGCGGGGUAACGGCCCACCUAGUCUUCGAUGGAUAGGGGUUCUGAGAGGAAGGGCCCCCACAUUGGAACUGAGACACGGUCCAAACUCCUACGGGAGGCAGCAGUGAGGAAGAUUGGUCAAUGGGCGCAGGCCUGAACCAGCCAAGUAGCGUGAAGGAUGACUGCCCUAUGGGUUGUAAACUUCUUUUAUAAAGGAAUAAAGUCGGGUAUGGAUACCCGUUUGCAUGUACUUUAUGAAUAAGGAUCGGCUAACUCCGUG